AAAGGCAACUAGCUCUCUGCAACUCUCACAUGGUCGCCCACUGACGCUAAGCAGGGCUGCGCCUGGUAAGUACCUGGAUGGGAGACCACAUGGGAAAGCUAGGUUGCUGCGGGAA
rfam:Danio rerio chromosome 15, GRCz11 reference primary assembly.